rnacentral:lncRNA from 1 species
UUGCAACACACUGAUUUUCCUAAUUGUAUCUGUUUCAAGUUAUUAUGUCCAAAUGUAUUCUUUAGGUUAAAUUGCGAUAUGCAUAUGGGCUUUUCAUCUUCCAGCCUCUAGGCAAUUUUUCUGACCUUGAGCUGAAAUGUUUUAUAAUUAGCUUGGGAUUAACUUGGCUGGAAGUAAUGAAGAAAAAUAUAAGAUUUCCUGUGAUAUCAUUUGUAAUUUUGUAGCUUUUGAUAAGAGUGAUUGCUGAAGAAGUAUUUGUAAAACCAACUCCAAAUAUUUUUGACAAGGCUCCAUAUUUAAAACUGUUUUCUUAAAUAAUGAGGGGAAUCUUGCAUUAUUAAAGGCUAAUGUAUCAACUCAUGAUUAUAAGUUAUAUACGUUGAGUGGGUAAGACUUGUUAAUCAUGAUUGUGUAACAAUUACGAAAAUGGAGAUGAUACAAUUGUUUGUCCUGUUACCAAAUUGAAACCUAAAAUAUAUAAUUGCUAUCUACAUUUUUUGUAGAGCUUAUGGGCAUGUGUUUGACUUUACACCUUGUUUUGUAAUUUAUUUAUGUUGAAUUGUGAAACUUAUUUCACUAGACAACAAUAACCAACAAACAUACUGCCAAUUAGUGAAGGUUUGCAUAUUAAUUUCUUUUUUAGGAUUUGUUCUUCUUAAUAUGUGGCAUGAUUUUUCUCUGUGAUUAGGUCUCUACAUCUUCCGACCCUUAAAAACAAAAUUGGUGUGUCCUCUUCUCAAGGCUUCCUUAGAUCUUUGUUUC